GUGCCAGCAGCCGCGGUAAUACGUAGGCAGCAAGCGUUGUUCGGAGUUACUGGGCGUAAAGGGUGUGUAGGCGGUUGUUUAAGUUUGGUGUGAAAUCUCCCGGCUCAACUGGGAGGGUGCGCCGAAUACUGAAUGACUAGAGUGCGGGAGAGGAAAGUGGAAUUCCUGGUGUAGCGGUGAAAUGCGUAGAUAUCAGGAGGAACACCGGCGGUGUAGACGGCUUUCUGGACCGUAACUGACGCUGAGACACGAAAGCGUGGGUAACAAACAGGAUUAGAAACCCCUGUAGUCC
rnacentral:rRNA from 1 species